ensembl:lncRNA
GGGGCUGGGACCCCCUGAUGGGGGUGCAUUUGCUAUCCAAAGACCGUUAGACAGGGGCUGAAUGAAUGGCGCUUGAAUGUCAUUGUAAUGCACGGGUCCAGCUCCCCCUUCAUUCAGCCUCAGUUGUAGGGGCCGCUCGGAGAGAUGGGGAAAGAAAUGCAAGUGCAUUUUGAAUCCAGCCAUGAUGCUCGUGCUUCUCCUCGACCAAGACCGACCGAAUCGGAUGAAAAUCAAAGGGAGACCGCGCGGAGCUGUGGUGCAAAGCUGCAAGAUGCCUGCACCGAAGAUGCAGCAGGAACACGAACAAAGGACCGAAUAAAACCCACCGUGGAAUUAUCAGUAGGACCCAAAUGAACGCACUGCAUUUCGUGUUGUUGCAGUAGGGUUAUUUAGGUUAGUUUAUACAAAAAAACACGUUUAGGUUUUGAGACUCGUGGAUGCCAGCAGACCUUUAGGCCUUUAGUUUAGCAAACUGACGAGCCUUCCUACAGAAACGAUCGGCUUGUUUUGUUGCAUAUGUGGAUUGAAACCGAGGUCCAAAUAGGGUCUUCUUAAAACAAGAAAAUAACCACAUUUGCGAUUCUAUAGUCUCACUUAUUGGGAGUACGAAGGAGCAGGUUCAUUCUUAACGAGCUGGAUCGUCUCUCCCCCCCCCCCUUUUCAUCCUCUUUGUUCAACAAACAGUAGGUGGUCGACGUAUUGUAGAGAAUAAGUAUUCUAGGGGAGAAAACAUUUGAAAAGUAAAUUAGAUGCUCUUCCGGUUAUACAUACGUAUCCUGCUGCAAUAUCUUUACGUAUGUAAAGGUAACUCUUUGCAUUGUACCAAUUAAAUAACCAAUCUCAUCUCAGUUAGUUGUUUUAUCCUUCAUCAUAUUAUAAAAUGAUUGUGUUGUUUAAUAGUUAACCCAGCUAUUCAUACAAAUGCAUCAAUAGAUAAACAUAGACGUAUUGGGGGCUCCCUCUAUAAGGAUAUGUUGAGGCCAGAAGUAUUGAUGCUGAUUGGUUUGACAAUAUGGCCUCUUGAACCUUGACACCACGGGCUAAGAAACAGACAUGGCUGACCAUGCACUUUGUAACUGUAUUUGCUCUAGUGCUGAAUAUUUUCAAGCGUUACGUUUAAAAGAAGAGCAUGUAUUAAGUCAUUUUUGUAUAGCAGCCUGUAUAGGCCUACAGCCAAAUCUUGAUUUGCCUCAAAUGACGGUUAAGCAAACGUGUCAAUGUUUAAUUGCGUGACAGUUUAGCAUCCCAAAUGCAGAAUAAGCUUUUCAUACAAUAGUAAUAGACCUAUUAUGCAUUUCUAUAUAUCAGGCUUCGUGGGCUACUGUUUACGUUAUAUAUUGGCAUUUUGGCAUGGGAUAUGGUUUCGGCCUUUCGAUUUUGCCAUUUAUUAAGAACAAAUAGGCUUAAUGCGGUUCGUUAAAAAAAAAAAUCCAAAUGAAGACCAUGUGUUUCAUUCUGGCCAGUCCAUCGUGGUCCCAGCGAGACCUCAAAGAUUAGAGCGAGCCUCCAUCAUGAGCAACACCGCACCGUGCAGGCCUGCUAAUGCUAAUGUCUGUUUCGCUCCUUAUCUCUUUUAUGUAUCCAGCUAUUUCAGUAACUGUCUCUCUUUAUCUCGGCUUCGAAAGGACAAAUAUAAAUUAAUUCGUAUAACCCUCGAUUUGAGGGACUCUCCUAGAUGUAGCCUAUUCUUGCAUCUUUCCGUGUACCUAUAUCAAAUGUAGGUUAGUCCAUAACAGCAUUGCCUGGCUUUGAGCCGUUGGCCUAGGCCUCGAGCUGUCGUGGUGGUCCUGUACAAUGUAUAAAUCAUAAAUUUGACUACUUGUCCUCGAGGCUAAAUACGUUGAUUGUUAUUAUUAAUCUGACAAUAAUUAAUACUACACUAUAAAUGAACAUUGCCAUUGAAUGUACAUUUUAUUGGUUAACAUGAAGCGCCAUUUUCUCCAGACCCACACAGCCCACUCCAUAUUUCCCUGCAGAGCUACUGCAUUUUUUGCAGCAUGUUUUGAAUAUAUAGAUACAUCUUUAUUGAUACCUUGCGUUAAACACAGGGCUUUCAGUCACGGUAUAAAAAAAAAGGCCUAUAUCUGCACUCGUCGGAGUUGUGAAUAGCUGCUACGUCACAUGUGUUUGCUCUAUAGUGAUUUUCCAACCCUAUAAUAAACAGAAUAUCGGCACGCGUGGCGGUGGCGUUACAGAAUGUCAGCGCGCGGUUUUCAAGGACAUCUCGCUGAUGAGGAUUUGGUUAAUGUGGGAGGGGGGGGGUGGGGGUGAAUCUGGGCCCCGGCCGACCAUGACGUCAUUGUGUGCCGAUGUAAUCCUCUCGCGCUGAACCCAAUCAGCAGCAGAGCCUCGCGAUUGUCUGGAAUAGGAAGAGGGGCGCUCUAAUCCGCGAGACAGUGGAUCACAGAAGAGAAGCCCGCGAGAGCCGGAGAGAGAGAGGGGGAGUGGGAGAGAGAAGAGGAG